rnacentral:rRNA from 1 species
CCUACGGGAGGCAGCAGUGAGGAAUAUUGGUCAAUGGGCGCAAGCCUGAACCAGCCAAGUCGCGUGAGGGAUGACGGUCCUAUGGAUUGUAAACCUCUUUUGUCGGGGAGCAAGGCCCGCCACGUGUGGCGGGAAGGAGAGUACCCGAAGAAAAAGCAUCGGCUAACUCCGUGCCAGCAGCCGCGGUAAUACGGAGGAUGCGAGCGUUAUCCGGAUUUAUUGGGUUUAAAGGGUGCGUAGGCGGAAGGUUAAGUCAGCGGUAAAAUGUCGGUGCGCAACACCGGCCUGCCGUUGAAACUGGUCUUCUUGAGUGAGCGAGAAGUAUGCGGAAUGCGUGGUGUAGCGGUGAAAUGCAUAGAUAUCACGCAGAACUCCGAUUGCGAAGGCAGCAUACCGGCGCUCAACUGACGCGGAGGCACGAAAGCGUGGGGAUCGAACAGGAUUAGAUACCCUUGUAGUC